UACGGAGGGAGCUAGCGUUGUUCGGAAUUACUGGGCGUAAAGCGCACGUAGGCGGCUAUUCAAGUCAGAGGUGAAAUCCCUAGGCUUAACCUGGGAACUGCAUCCGAUACUGGAUGGCUUGAAUCCGGGAGAGGGAUGCAGAAUUCCAGGUGUAGCGGUGAAAUGCGUAGAUAUCUGGAGGAAUACCGGUGGCGAAGGCGGCAUCCUGGACCGGCAUUGACGCUGAUGAGCGAAAGCGUGGGGAGCAAACAGG
rnacentral:rRNA from 1 species